rnacentral:rRNA from 1 species
AUGCCGCGUGCAGGAAGACUGCCCUAUGGGUUGUAAACUGCUUUUAUACAGGAAGAAUAAGCCUUACGUGUAAGGUGAUGACGGUACUGUAAGAAUAAGGACCGGCUAACUCCGUGCCAGCAGCCGCGGUAAUACGGAGGGUCCGAGCGUUAUCCGGAAUUAUUGGGUUUAAAGGGUCCGUAGGCGGAUGAUUAAGUCAGGGGUGAAAGUUUGCAGCUCAACUGUAAAAUUGCCUUUGAUACUGGUCAUCUUGAGUUGUAUUGAAGUAGGCGGAAUAUGUAGUGUAGCGGUGAAAUGCAUAGAUAUUACAUAGAACACCAAUUGCGAAGGCAGCUUACUAAGUACUAACUGACGCUGAUGGACGAAAGCGUGGGUAGCGAACAGGAUUAGAUACCCUGGUAGUCCACGCCGUAAACGAUGGAUACUAGCUGUUCGGGGCCUUGAGCUCUGAGCGGCUAAGCGAAAGUGAUAAGUAUCCCACCUGGGGAGUACGUUCGCAAGAAUGAAACUCAAAGGAAUUGACGGGGGCCCGCACAAGCGGUGGAGCAUGUGGUUUAAUUCGAUGAUACGCGAGGAACCUUACCAGGGCUUAAAUGUAGUCUGACAGCUUUAGAGAUAGAGUUUUCUUCGGACAGAUUACAAGGUGCUGCAUGGUUGUCGUCAGCUCGUGCCGUGAGGUGUCAGGUUAAGUCCUAUAACGAGCGCAACCCCUGUCGUUAGUUGCCAGCAUGUCAUGAUGGGGACUCUAACGAGACUGCCGGUGCAAACCGCGAGGAAGGUGGGGAUGACGUCAAAUCAUCACGGCCCUUACGUCCUGGGCCACACACGUGCUACAAUGGCCGGUACAGAGAGCAGCCACGUCGCAAGGCGGAGCGAAUCUAUAAAACCGGUCA